AAAGUCGUAACAAGGUUUCCGUAAACACACCUGCGGAAGCCCUGUGCGCCCAGUCCCCCCGGGGGCGAGGAAUGCAGUCUGCUGGAACGAACAUUCGAAUCAGCAGCCGUGCCCCCGGGCAUGGUACACAGACUAGAUGCGUUUCGCUGUCUCCCCCGGGAGCAGUAUUGAUAUAGUCGGUCCCAGCGGCCAUUAGCCCCUGGAGCCCCCGAGGUGAACCUGCGGAAGGAUCAUUAAAAGAGAUAGCCCUUCGGGGCGACCCUCCACCCAUUGCCUGUUAUACAUUAGUUGCUUUGGCGGGCUGGGCUCUGCCCCGCUGGCUCACAAGCUCGCGAGCCCCGCCGAAGGUCAUCAAUUAAAACUCUGAAGUAAACCUUGAAGUCUGAAUAUAAACUAUGAAAAUAGCCUAAAACUUUCAACAACGGAUCUCUUGGUUCUG
rnacentral:misc_RNA from 1 species